ACUGCGGAGGGAUCAUUACACAACAAAAUAUGAAGGCCUGGCUUUCGCGGCCGGCUGAAGUAUUUUUUUCACCCAUGUCUUUUGCGCACUUGUUGUUUCCUGGGCGGGUUCGCCCGCCACCAGGACCAAACCAUAAACCUUUUUUUCUUAUGCAGUUUCCAUCAGCGUCAGUAAAAACAAUGUAAUUAUUACAACUUUCAACAACGGAUCUCUUGGUUCUGGCAUCGAUGAAGAACGCAGCGAAAUGCGAUACGUAGUGUGAAUUGCAGAAUUCAGUGAAUCAUCGAAUCUUUGAACGCACAUUGCGCCCUUUGGUAUUCCAAAGGGCAUGCCUGUUCGAGCGUCAUUUGUACCUUCAAGCUUUGCUUGGUGUUGGGCGUUUUUUUGUCUCCCUCUUUCUGGGAGACUCGCCUUAAAACGAUUGGCAGCCGGCCUACUGGUUUCGGAGCGCAGCACAUUUUUUGCGCUUUGUAUCAGGAGAAAAGGACGGUACUCCAUCAAGACUCUACAUUUUUCACUUUGACCUCGGAUCAUGUAGGGACCA
rnacentral:rRNA from 1 species